rnacentral:rRNA from 1 species
UGAACGCUGGCGGCAUGCCUUACACAUGCAAGUCGAACGGCAGCGCGGACUUCGGUCUGGCGGCGAGUGGCGAACGGGUGAGUAAUGCAUCGGAACGUACCUUUCAGUGGGGGAUAACUAGUCGAAAGACUAGCUAAUACCGCAUACGCACUAUGGUGGAAAGCGGGGGAUCGCAAGACCUCGCGCUAUUGGAGCAGCCGAUGUCCGAUUAGGUAGUUGGUGGGGUAAAGGCUCACCAAGCCGACGGUCCUUAGCUGGUCUGAGAGGAUGAUCAGCCACACUGGGACUGAGACACGGCCCAGACUCCUACGGGAGGCAGCAGUGGGGAAUAUUGGACAAUGGGCGAAAGCCUGAUCCAGCAAUGCCGCGUGAGUGAUGAAGGCCUUAGGGUUGCAAAGCUCUUUUACCAGGGAUGAUAAUGACAGUACCUGGAGAAUAAGCUCCGGCUAACUCCGCGCCAGCAGCCGC